rnacentral:rRNA from 1 species
UACGUAGGGUGCGAGCGUUGCCCGGAUUUAUUGGUCGUAAAGGUCGCUUAGGCGGUCACGCACUUCCGUUGUGAAAUCGCUCGGCUCAACUGGGCGGGGUCAGCGGAUACGGCGUGGCUGGAGCAAGCUAGGGGGCAAUGGAAUUCCCGGUGUAGUGGUGGAAUGCGUAGAUAUCGGGAGGAACACCAGUGGCGAAGGCGGUUGCCUGGAGCUUUGCUGACGCUGAUGCGCGAAAGCGUGGGGAGCGAUCCGG